AUGAACGCUGGCGGCGUGCCUCAUACAUGCAAGUCGAGCGAACAGAUAAGGAGCUUGCUCCUUUGACGUUAGCGGCGGACGGGUGAGUAACACGUGGGUAACCUACCUAUAAGACUGGGAUAACUUCGGGAAACCGGAGCUAAUACCGGAUAACAUUUGGAACCGCAUGGUUCUAAAGUGAAAGAUGGUUUUGCUAUCACUUAUAGAUGGACCCGCGCCGUAUUAGCUAGUUGGUAAGGUAACAGCUUACCAAGGCGACGAUACGUAGCCGACCUGAGAGGGUGAUCGGCCACACUGGAACUGAGACACGGUCCAGACUCCUACGGGAGGCAGCAGUAGGGAAUCUUCCGCAAUGGGCGAAAGCCUGACGGAGCAACGCCGCGUGAGUGAUGAAGGGUUUCGGCUCGUAAAACUCUGUUAUUAGGGAAGAACAAACGUGUAAGUAACUGUGCACGUCUUGACGGUACCUAAUCAGAAAGCCACGGCUAACUACGUG
rnacentral:rRNA from 1 species